CUUGUUGAUGGUAGCAGCUGCUAUGUUCCUCAGCGUUUGUCUGGAUAGUAGGAGGCAACUUCUAUCUACUGAGACUGUAGUUGAUUGCAGCUAACAGCUGGACGGGGAACAACUACAGCUUCUGUGUGAACGCUGCUGCUUUGCCUACCGAAGUUUGCCUGUAUUGGGCCUGUAACUGCCCUCACGUCUCACCAACACGAGUUCCUUAUUGCUGCUACUCUUUUAUUGUUUCGCCUGUAGCGCUAGCUUAC